UAUAAAUAGGAAGUUCCGGGUGAGUUGGGAGGAAGUAGAGAGGAGACAUUGCUGGAAGUGGCAGCAGAGGAGGAAACCUCCAUAGAUGACUGCACCAAUGAUGGAGGAGGACCGGAGUCACAUGACCGAGAAGAUACUAAACCUCACCCUGGAGAUCAUCUACCUGCUGACCGGAGAGGGUUUUCCUUUUCUGAAGUCCGGUGGUCAUGUGACCAUCACAGUGCCUCCAUGUGACUCCCUAAAACCCGAGAGACCCAACAUGGAG